CUAACACAUGCAAGUCGAGCGGCAGCGAGGUUAGUAGCAAUACUAACUGUCGGCGAGCGGCGGACGGGUGAGGAACACGUAGGAACCUGUCCUUAAGAGGGGGACAACCAAGGGAAACUUUGGAUAAUACCGCAUAGACUCGAACGAGGAAAGCUGCUCGCAAGGGUGGCACUUAAGGAGGGGCCUGCGUCCGAUAAGCUAGUUGGUAAGGUAAAGGCUUACCAAGGCGAUGAUCGGUAACUGGUCUGAGAGGACGACCAGUCACACUGGGACUGAGACACGGCCCAGACUCCUACGGGAGGCAGCAGUGGGGAAUAUUGGACAAUGGGGGCAACCCUGAUCCAGCGAUGCCGCGUGGGUGAAGAAGGCCUUCGGGUUGUAAAGCCCUUUAGGUUGGGAAGAAGGGUGUUGUAGGAAAUGACAACAUUUUGACGGUACCGACAGAAUAAGCACCGGCAAACUCUGUGCCAGCAGCCGCCGUAA
rnacentral:rRNA from 1 species